CCCGGGCUCAACCUGGGAACUGCAUUCGAAACUGGCAGGCUAGAGUCUUGUAGAGGGGGGUAGAAUUCCAGGUGUAGCGGUGAAAUGCGUAGAGAUCUGGAGGAAUACCGGUGGCGAAGGCGGCCCCCUGGACAAAGACUGACGCUCAGGUGCGAAAGCGUGGGGAGCAAACAGGAUUAGAUACCCUGGUAGUCCACGCCGUAAACGAUGUCGAUUUGGAGGUUGUGCCCUUGAGGCGUGGCUUCCGGAGCUAACGCGUUAAAUCGACCGCCUGGGGAGUACGGCCGCAAGGUUAAAACUCAAAUGAAUUGACGGGGGCCCGCACAAGCGGUGGAGCAUGUGGUUUAAUUCGAUGCAACGCGAAGAACCUUACCUGGUCUUGACAUCCACAGAACUUUCCAGAGAUGGAUUGGUGCCUUCGGGAACUGUGAGACAGGUGCUGCAUGGCUGUCGUCAGCUCGUGUUGUGAAAUGUUGGGUUAAGUCCCGCAACGAGCGCAACCCUUAUCCUUUGUUGCCAGCGGUCCGGCCGGGAACUCAAAGGAGACUGCCAGUGAUAAACUGGAGGAAGGUGGGGAUGACGUCAAGUCAUCAUGGCCCUUACGACCAGGGCUACACACGUGCUACAAUGGCAUAUACAAAGAGAAGCGACCUCGCGAGAGCAAGCGGACCUCAUAAAGUAUGUCGUAGUCCGGAUUGGAGUCUGCAACUCGACUCCAUGAAGUCGGAAUCGCUAGUAAUCGUAGAUCAGAAUGCUACGGUGAAUACGUUCCCGGGCCUUGUACACACCGCCCGUCACACCAUGGGAGUGGGUUGCAAAAGAAGUAGGUAGCUUAACCUUCGGGAGGGCGCUUACCACUUUGUGAUUCAUGACUGGGGUGAAGUCGUAACAAGGUAACCGUAGGGGAACCUGCGGUUGGAUCACCUCCUUACCUUAAAGAA
rnacentral:rRNA from 1 species